AUUGAACGCUGGCGGCAGGCCUAACACAUGCAAGUCGAGCGGCAGCGGGAAGUAGCUUGCUACUUUGCCGGCGAGCGGCGGACGGGUGAGUAAUGUCUGGGAAACUGCCUGAUGGAGGGGGAUAACUACUGGAAACGGUAGCUAAUACCGCAUAACGUCGCAAGACCAAAGAGGGGGACCUUCGGGCCUCUUGCCAUCAGAUGUGCCCAGAUGGGAUUAGCUCGUAGGUGGGGUAACGGCUCACCUAGGCGACGAUCCAAAGCUGGUCUGAGAGGAUAACCAGCCACACUGGGACUGAGACACGGUCCAGACUCCUACGGGAGGCAGCAGUGUGGAAUAUUGCACAAUGGGCGCAAGCCUGAUGCAGCCAUGCCGCGUGUAUGAAGAAGGCCUUCGGGUUGUAAAGUACUUUCAGCGGGGAGGAAGGUGCUGAGGUUAAUAACCUCAGCAAUUGACGUUACCCGCAGAAGAAGCACCGGCUAACUCCGUGCCAGCCGCCGCAGUAA
rnacentral:rRNA from 1 species